rnacentral:lncRNA from 1 species
UCGCCUGGAUCACCAGACACAGAGUUUGCCAAACGUUUUGAGUGGUGAUGACACUCCGCAGACAAGAUUACCGAAUUCCUGCGUGAUGUUUAAGGAAAACUUUUCAUCCGAUCAAGGGCGCUGUCGCUGUCGGUGACACUGUAAAUUACCCAUCACCCAGAAAUUCUGCUUCUGGGAACUUAUCCUAAAGGAACUAAUAAAGAAUGUGGGGUGAGGUUUAGCUCCGAGGAUAUCCGGCAGACUGCUCUUGAAAAGAAAAGGUGGAAACCACGACGAUUCCCAAAAGAGGGGGAUUAGCUGGAGACAGUGCCAUCGUGCAGUGGGGUUGUAUGUUCCACGCUGCUGUAAAGGUAGACACCGCGUGUUUACACACACCCAGGGCCACAUUUAUAUAGUACGCUCCGACACAAAGUGAAAAGAAUCCGCGGUAUUCCCCAGAUUUGGGUAGACGGGAUUGUGUGUAUGUUAAGUGUUGUCUCUGCUUGAUUUGUUCCAUUCUGAGCAUGAACUGCUUUCCUACUACAGAAAGAAUAAAUUAAAGAACAGGCCUACUCGGGGAGGUCCCAUGGCUCGUGUACAAGGUGGUCAGAAUUCCCCUCUUUUUUCCAGGCUCAGGUCAUAGAAUCGUUUGGUCCACUAGACACUUAUCCAGCCUCACCAGGACACGCCAAGCCCUGCACAUUCCUGGGGACACAACGGUUGAAGGCACGGAGUGGCUCCUGGCCUUGAAGAACUCAUGUCAGGACGUUCCAGUUGGGUAGCUUCAAAGGAAGCAUCUUCCUGACUCAGCCUCAGGAGAGCCACUGGGUCCGGCCAGGCAGCCUCACCUGCGUGUUUGAACCAGCAUCUAACUGUUGACCCUCUCUCUGGCACAUGGUUUCCCAGAAAACUAGGAGUUUUGACUGACAGUCACUUCUCAUCUGACAUCGAAAUCCCUGGAAGUUUCUAAGACAAAGCUGAGUUGCAGCCAUAGUCCUACCUGACCUUCUCCGGCCUGGGUCUCUUGACCUUAUUUUUCUCUUCAUUCAGAGCCUUUGCCUGGACUGCUGACAGAAUGAUUGGCGUGACCUCUCUCUGAAACUAAUACCAAGACAUUUACCAAAUUUUCUCUGAAACUAUACCUUCAGCUCCUUUCCACCAUAUUGGAUUCCCUGUGAUUUGAGAAAAUAAGAACUGCACUGGAUAAGUGACAUGCUGCUUGAGACUUGACCUGAGUGGUGGCCUCCUCACCGGGCCUUGCUUCUGUCCCUACUUGUCCCUCAUUUCUUGUUCUCUUCAUAUUUGGGCUCCUCCCCAUUUUCCCAAGUGUGUUCCCUAAUGCCCUGCUUGGGGCCAAUUGUGAUACUACAGGGUUAAAAUUUUCCCCUUUCCUUUCCCCCACCUGCCUGCUCAAUGCCACUUGGAAUCAGAAAUAAAACCAUCCAAAUUCAGCUAAGUUGUAGAUAUCAAUCAUCAAAAAU